UGAACGCUGGCGGCGUGCUUAACACAUGCAAGUCGAACGAAGUCCAUGGAGCUUGCUCCGGAAGACUGAGUGGCGAACGGGUGCGUAACACGUGAGAAACCUGCCCCGGACUUUGGGAUAACAGUUGGAAACGACUGCUAAUACCGAAUGUCGUCAUUUCCUCGCAUGGGGAUUUGAUGAAAGGUCCGCCGGUCCGGGAGGGUCUCACGGCCUAUCAGCUUGUUGGAGGGGUAAUGGCUCACCAAGGCAUCGACGGGUAGCUGGUCUGAGAGGAUGAUCAGCCACACUGGGACUGAGACACGGCCCAGACUCCUACGGGAGGCAGCAGUGGGGAAUCUUGCACAAUGGGCGCAAGCCUGAUGCAGCAACGCCGCGUGCGGGAAGAAGGCCUUAGGGUUGUAAACCGCUUUCAGUAGGGAAGAAAAUGACGGUACCUACAGAAGAAGGUGCGGCCAACUAC
rnacentral:rRNA from 1 species